rnacentral:lncRNA from 1 species
UUUUUUUUUUUUUUUUUUUUUUUGUCGUUUGUCUUUUUAGGGCCGCACUACUGGCAUGUGGAGGUUCCCAGACUAGGGGUCUAAUUGGAGCUGUAGCCGCUGGCCUACACCACAGCCACAGCAACACCAGAUCCGAGCCGCAUCUCCGACCUGCACCACAGGUCAUGGCAACACAGGAUCCUUAACCCAUUGAGCAAGGCCAGAGACGGAACCCGCAAUCUCAUGGUUCCUAGUUGGAUUUGUUUCCACUCUGCCACAAUGGGAACUCCCAUUUGUGGUCUUAUGAAUGAUGGCCAUUCUGACUGGUGUGAGGUGGUACCUCAUAGUAGUUUUGAUUUGUGUUUCUCUAAUAAUCAGUGAUGUUGAGCAUUUUUUGUUGUUUGUUUAUUUUGGAGAUUAAGCUCUUGUCAGCUGCAUUGUUUGAAACUAUUUUCUCCCAUUCUGUAAAUUGUCUUUUUGGUUUUUUUGUUUGUUUGUUUUUUAUGGUUUCCUUUGCUGCGCAAAAGCUUGUCACUUUGUUUAGGGGCCAUUGGUUUAUUUUUGCUUUUAUUUCUCUUGCCUUGGGAGACUGACCUAAGAAAACAUUUGAAAGGUUGAUGUCAGAGGACCAGCUCUGUUUUUACUGUCUUUCUGAUUUGGGGCAAGUUGCUAACCUCAAAAUUGUAGUAGCUACUUCUUUAUAGGCUGACAUAAGGAUUAUGUAGGAUAAUGCAUGUAAAGUACAUAGUAUACCCUAGAUAAGCACUGAUUAUUAUUAUUGAUAACUUUGCUCAAUUACAAUAAUAAUAGCACUUUUCAUGGGCUGGGAAUUCAGUCACAGCUGGGAAUCUGGUAAUAUCUUAAAUUGCUCAACAAACAAUAAAGAGACACCAAAAACCUAAGUUCCUUCUUGCAGAUCUCUGCUGAAAGACUUCCUCAUCUCCUUUCAGGGUACUUUCAGCAGUGCAAAUAUUGUGGUGUCUUCUCAGGCCAAAUUGACUUCCCUUUGCACUUAAAUUGCGUUUGUAGGGAACAGUUGAGAGCCCAUCAGGACUUUGAACUGGAGACUCCAGCAAGCCAGAAUCUCUGCAGUGAUUCACAGAAUAGAUUUCACUACAGAGAACAGCACUAAUUGACCAUAAUUUCAAUCCCCUUACUUCCUGUUCCUCACCUUUUCCCGAGAAGCUUCCAUUUGCAAUCAAACUCAGUUUUGUUUAGUAAUCAGAAAUCUUUUGUCAAAUAAAAGCAUAGGACCAUAUGGCUUCACAGGUGAAUUCUCUCAAACAUUUAAAGAAUUAAUUCCAGUCUUUAACAGACUCUUCCAAAAAAACUGAAGAAGGAACACUUCUAAGUUCAUUUUACGAGGCCAGCAUCACCCAGGUACUAAGGCUGAAGACACUAUAAGAAAGGAAAAUUACAGGCCAAUAUCCCUGAAUAACAUAGAUGAAAAAAUACUCAACAAAGUACCAGCAAAUUAGAUUCAAGGGCUUGUUAAAAGGAUCAUUCACCAUGAUCAAGUAGAGUUCCCCCUGGGAUGCAGGGAUGGUUCAAGAUACACAAAUCAAUAAAUCUGACACAUCGCAUUAACAGAACAAAGGGUGAAAAUUGUAUGAUCAUUUCAAUGGACGCCGAAAAAUCAUUUGACAGAAUUUAACAUUCUUUAGUGAUUAACAGCUCUCAGCAGAUGAGGUUUAGAAGAAAUGUUUCUCAACAUAGCGAAGGUCAUCUAUGAUAAGCCCACAGCUAACAUCAUAGUCAAUGGUGAAAGUUAAAACCUUCCCCUCCAAGGUCGGGAAUAGGACAAGGAUGCUCACUCUCACCAUUUCUACUCAGCAUAGUUCUUGAAGUCCUAGCCAUAGUAGUUAAGUGAGAAAAAGAACCAAAAGGCACCCAAAGUAGUAGAAAGAAGUAAAAAUAUCUCUGUUUGCAGAUGACAUGAUCUUACAUACAGGAAAUCCUAGGUUCCACUAAAAAUGUUAGAACUAAUAAAUGAAUUCAGUAAAGUUGCAGGAUACAAAAUCAGCAUACAUUAAUCAGUUGUGUUUCUGUGUACUCAAAAAGUAUCUGAAAGAGAUAUUGAAAAAGCAGUUAAACAAAAUACUUAGGGAUGCAGAUAACCAAGGAGAUGAAAGAUCUGUACGCCGAAAACUAUUGGACAUUGAUGAAGGGGAUUGAAGAGUAUACUAAUAAAUGGACAGCUGUUGUGUGCUCUCAGAUUCAAAGUAUUGAUAUUGUGAAAAUAUCCACACUGCCCACAAUGAUCUACACAUUUAGUGCAAUUCCUAUCAAAAUUCCAGCGGCGUUUUUCACAGAAAUGGGAAAAACUACCCUAAAUGUGUGUGGAACCACAGAAGAUCCUGACUAGCCAAAACAAUCCUGACAAAGACGAACAAAGCUGGAGGCCUCACACUUCCUGAUUUCAAGCUGUAUUCUAAAGUAUAGUAAAGAAAGCACUAUGGUACUGGUAUAAAAACAAGCACAUAGACCACUGGGGUGGACUAGAGUGUCCAGCCAUAAACACAUGCACAUGUAGUCAACUAAUUUUUUGACAAUGGCAACAAAAAGACACAGUGGGGAAAGGAUAGUCUCUUCAAUAAAUGACACUGGAAAAACUGGAUAUCCAUAUUCUCAAGAAUGAAAAUGGAUCCCUGUCUUAUACUACUUAUAAAAAUCAGCUCAAAAUGGGUCAAAGACUUAAAUAACAGGCCUGAGACCAUAAAACUCCUAGAAGAAAACAUAGGAAAAAGGAUUAUUGACAUUAGUCUUUGCAAUGAUUUCUUAAAUAAGACACCCGAAGCACAGGGAACAAAAGCUAAAAUGAGCAAGUGGGUCUAACUCAGACUAAAGGGCGUCUGUCCAGGAAAGGAAAUAAUUAAUUGAAAAUACAGCAGAAAUAAUGGGAGAAAAUACUGGCAAACCAUGUAUCUUUUAAGGGGUGGAUAUCCAACAUAUGUUUAAAAACUCAUAUGACUCAGCAAAAUAAGCAAAUAAUGCAAUUAAAAUGGACAAAGAACCUGAAUAGACGUUUUUCCAAAGAAGAGACAUAGAUGGCCAGUAGGUCUAUGAAAAGGUGCUCAGCACCACUCAUCAUCUCCAAAGUCCCAAUCAAACCCAUAAUAAGAUAGCACUUCAUACCUGUUAGGAUGGCUGUUAUCAAAAAGAUAAGAGAUAGCAAAUGUUUGCAAGGACGUGGAGAAAAGGGAAUCCUUGCAUACUGUUAAUGAGAAUGUAAAUUGGUAACACCAUUAUGGAAAACAGUUGUGGUGGUUCCUUAGAAAAUUAAAAAGUUAGCUACCACAUGAUCUGGCAAUUCCAUUCCUGAAUGUGUAUCUGAAGAAACUGAAAUCAGCAUCUUGAAGAGCUUCCUGCACAUCUGUGUUCAUUGAGGAAUUAUUCACAACAGAUAAGAUAUGGAGACAACCUAAGUGUCCUUCAGUGGCUGAGUGGAUAAGGAGAAUACUACCCAGCCAUAGAGAGAACAAAAUCCUGGCAUUUGUGACAAUAUGGAUGAAACUGGAGGGCAUUUUGCUAAGGGAGAUAAGCCAGGCACAGAAAGACAAAUACUGUAUGGUAUCCCUUAUAUGUGGAAGGAAAAAUUCACCUUCCUAGAAACAGAGAGUAGCAUGGUGGUUGCCACAGGCUGGGUUGGGGGCAGAAGGAGAAAAAAGGGGAUAUAGGUGAAAACACACUUGCUGUUAGAAGAAGGAUGAGUUCCAAGGACCCAGUGUAUAGCAUGGUGACUAUAGUUAGUAGUACCUUAGGUAUGUAUUAUGAACUUGAAAGUUGCUGAGCGUGGAUCUUAGCCUUCUCCCAACAACAACAAAAAGGUGGUUUAGGUGAAGUGAUGGAUAUUAAUUAUCCUGAUCCUGGGAAUCAUUCCACAGUGUACAUGUGUAUCAAAUCAUCACGUCAUACACUUAAAAUUAUCACAAUUAUCCUUGUCAGUUAUUCCUCAAUAAAGUCAAAAAUGAAGCAAAAAAAUCCCCAAACACUGUUAUGUUCUCCUUCCGACCAUUCUUGUGGAAUCGAGCAUUUCUACAGAUAUACCAGUGUUACGUGGAUCAGGUAUCUUCAAAGUAUGGUCUCGAGACCGGCAGCAUUAGCAUCACCUGGGAACGUGUCAGGAAUGUACAUUCUAGGGCUCCCCCACAACCUACCAGUUCAGAAACUCUGAGGUGGUUGGAGCUCAGCAGUUUGUGUUUUAACAAGCCCUUCUUGCGAUUCUGAUACUUGUUCAAGUUUGAGAACUCCUUUCAGCCUCAAAAAUAGGUCCCUCUGUAUCAUGGAGAUACUUUGGUGCUUGUUUUCAAGGACCCAGCUAUUGGGAUCAGAUGCAUGAUGUUUUUCUUGAUGGUCUUCUUGUCUUUAUUUUGUCAUAUCAUCUCUUAUUUUUCCUGUAGCGAGAGCAACAGGCUUUGAAUCCUUACAGCCAAAUCCAGCUGUCUUACUCUGCCUGAAUAUGUAUAAAUAUAUUUGACUUAUUUCCUUUUAUUACUCAUUAUUAAAAACUGUGAGGUUGAAAAUUUUAACUGAAUUUUCCCUUUAAAAUAAUUAACAGUAAUGUUCUGUUUCAUUCCCUAAUGUUUCUUUUCUGUGUGUGUGUGUGUGUGUGUGUGUGUGUGUGUGUGUGUCUCUCUUCAGGAAACAAAACAGUAUGUCUUUGUCAGCUUUAAUCCUGAGGUUGAAAAGUGAGACCUGGUUGUGGAUUUUGCAUGGUAUGUGUAUGACCGUAGUAAUGAUUGCUUCAAGUAUUAUGGCAUUAGUAACACCAAUGACAAAACUAAUACAUUAAAUAAGGCUACUAUGCUGUAUAACUUACAAAGCACUGUCACGUGCAUUUUCCUAUUUAAUGCUUACUCUUGCUAUAGGUACUGUUUUUGUUUUAAAAAUGGGGAAACAGGUUCAGAGGGUUACAUUUUCAUUGUUGAGCAUCAUGUGAGGUUUUUUUUGGGGGGGUUAUAGAUUUUAAGAAAACUUGUGAUUUUAAGAGAACCUUCUCUUGGAAUAACAAUAACAAGAGAGUUCCCGUUGUAGCUCAGUGGUAAUGAACUGGUCUAGGAACCAUGAGUAGUGGGUUUGAUCCCUGACUCCGCUCAGUGGGUUAAGGAUCCAGCAUUGCUGUGAGCUGAGGUAUGGGUCACAGACACAGCUUGGAUCUAGGGUUGCUGUGGCUGUGGUGUAGGCUGGCAGCUGGAGCUCUGAUUGGACCCC